AGCUCACAGGGUCCUCAUUGUCUCACCAGCUCCCUGGGAAACCAGCCUGGCAGACAGAAUGCUGCUCCUGAAAGCAGUCCUGCUCUCCUCCCUCUGGGCUUUUGCACUGGGGCAACUGGAGCAACCUGAAAUAGUCAUUUCCAGAGCAACAGAUAAGAGUGCCAGCAUACCUUGUAAGGCGUCCACCAACAACUUUAGAAAUGUAGAUAUACACUGGUACCGACAAAAACCAAAACAAGAGUUUGAGCAUCUAAUGUAUGUCCGGACAUCCUACAAUCAACGUCCCUUAGGAGGAACAAACAAGAAACUCGAGGCAAGUAAAAAUUUUGACACUUCCGCAUCAACCUUAAAAAUAAACGUCUUAAAGAAAGAAGAUGAGGCCACAUAUUACUGCACCUACUGGGACUUGCACAGUGUUAAGGCUGUCAGAAUGAGCUACACAAGAACACCUCCAGGUCUGUGCCCACCCACAUGAAGGCAACCACACACUGCU